GACGAACGCUGGCGGCGUGCUUAACACAUGCAAGUCGAACGGUGAACCCGCUUCGGUGGGGGAUCAGUGGCGAACGGGUGAGUAACACGUGGGCAACCUGCCCCCGGCUCUGGGAUAACCCCAAGAAAUUGGGGCUAAUACCGGAUAUGACCGCUGACCGCAUGGUCUGGUGGUGGAAAGAUUUAUCGGCUGGGGAUGGGCCCGCGGCCUAUCAGCUUGUUGGGGGGGUAGUGGCCUACCAAGGCGACGACGGGUAGCCGGCCUGAGAGGGUGACCGGCCACACUGGGACUGAGACACGGCCCAGACUCCUACGGGAGGCAGCAGGGGGGAAUAUUGCGCAAUGGGCGGAAGCCUGACGCAGCGACGCCGCGUGGGGGAUGACGGCCUUCGGGUUGUAAACCUCUUUCAGCAGGGACGAAGCCGCAAGGUGACGGUACCUGCAGAAGAAGCACCGGCCAACUACGUGCCAGCCGCCGCAGUAAGAC
rnacentral:rRNA from 1 species